rnacentral:rRNA from 1 species
UUGAACGCUGGCGGCAUGCCUUACACAUGCAAGUCGAACGGUAACAGGUCUUCGGAUGCUGACGAGUGGCGAGUAAUACAUCGGAACGUGCCCGAUCGUGGGGGAUAACGCAGCGAAAGCUGUGCUAAUACCGCAUACGAUCUACGGAUGAAAGCGGGGGAUCGCAAGACCUCGCGCGGACGGAGCGGCCGAUGGCAGAUUAGGUAGUUGGUGGGAUAAAAGCUUACCAAGCCGACGAUCUGUAGCUGGUCUGAGAGGACGACCAGCCACACUGGGACUGAGACACGGCCCAGACUCCUACGGGAGGCAGCAGUGGGGAAUUUUGGACAAUGGGCGAAAGCCUGAUCCAGCCAUGCCGCGUGCAGGAUGAAGGCCUUCGGGUUGUAAAGCUCUUUCAGACGGAAAGAAAACGCACAGGUUAAUACCUUGUGUGGAUGACGGUACCGUAAGAAGAAGCACCGGCUAACUACGU